rnacentral:rRNA from 1 species
GCGAGAAAACUUUGCAAUGUGCGAAAGCACGACAAGGUUAAUCCGAGUGGUUUCUGCUAAAGAAACCUUUUGUCAGUCCUAGAAACACUAACGAAUAAGGGGUGGGCAAGUUCUGGUGUCAGCCGCCGCGGUAAAACCAGCACCUCAAGUGGUCAGGAUGAUUAUUGGGCCUAAAGCAUCCGUAGCUCGUUUUGUAAGUUUUCGGUUAAAUCCAUGCGCUUAACGUAUGGGCUGCCGGGAAUACUGCAUAACUAGGAAGUGGGAGAGGUAGACGGUACUCGGUAGGAAGGGGUAAAAUCCUUUGAUCUAUUGAUGACCACCUGUGGCGAAGGCGGUCUACCAGAACACGUUCGACGGUGAGGGAUGAAAGCUGGGGGAGCAAACCGGAUUAGAUACCCGGGUAGUCCCUGAGCGGGCUGGCAAGGCGCAU